rnacentral:rRNA from 1 species
AAUCUUCCGCAAUGGACGCAAGUCUGACGGAGCAACGCCGCGUGAGUGAUGAAGGUUUUCGGAUCGUAAAACUCUGUUGUUAGGGAAGAACAAGUAUCGGAGUCACUGCCGGUACCUUGACGGUACCUGACGAGACAGCCACCGCUAACUACGUGCCAGCAGCCGCGGUAAUACGUAGGGGGCAAGCGUUGUCCGGAAUUAUUGGGCGUAAAGGGUGCGUAGGCGGCCUUUUAAGUCAGAUGUGAAAGCCCACGGCUUAACCGUGGGACUGCAUUUGAAACUGGAGGGCUUGAGUAUCGGAGAGGGUAGUGGAAUUCCCAGUGUAGCGGUGGAAUGCGUAGAUAUUGGGAGGAACACCAGUGGCGAAGGCGACUACCUGGACGAAAACUGACGCUGAGGCACGAAAGCUAGGGGAGCGAACA